rnacentral:rRNA from 1 species
UAAGAACCUCACCUUUCUUGAUAUGAAGGUUGAGGUUAUGAUAUAAUGUGCCCAGUGGGCCACUUUUGGUAAGCAGACCUGGCGCUGUGGGAUGAACCAAACGUAAUGUUACGGUGCCAAAAUUAACAACUCAUACAGAUACCAUGAAAGGCGUUGGUUGCUUAAAACAGCAGGACGGUGGACAUGGAAGUCGUAAUCCGCUAAGGAGUGUGUAACAACUCACCUGCCGAAGCAACUAGCCCUUAAAAUGGAUGGCGCUUAAGUUGUAUACCUAUACAUUACCGCUAAAGUAAAUGAUUUAUAUUCAAUUGCUAUUGGAUUUAAUAAAUUUUGAAACUUUAGUGAGUAGGAGGGUAUAAUGGUGUGCAUAGAAGUGUUUGGCGUAAGCCUGCAUGGAGCCGCUAUUAGUACAGAUCUUGGUGGUAGUAGCAAAUAAUCGAAUGAGACCUUGGAGGACUGAAGUGGAGAAGGGUUUCGUGUGAACAGUGGUUGAUCACGAGUUAGUCGGUUCUAAGUUUAAUGCGAAAGCUGAAUAUUUUCAAAGUUUAUAAAAAGAACAAAAAAAUAAAUAUAAACAAACAUAUAAAACACUUUUGAUUAAUAUAGUUAAACGAAAUUUAAGGAGUUUUUAACAAGAGGUGUCAGAAAAGUUACCACAGGGGUAACUGGCUUGUGGCGGCCAAGCGUUCAUAGCGACGUCGCUUUUUGAUCCUUCGAUGUCGGCUCUCCCUAUCAUUGUGAAGCAAAAUUCACCAAGCGUUGGAUUGUUCACCCAUGCAAGGGAACGUGAGCUGGGUUUAGACCGUCGUGAGACAGGUUAGUUUUACCCUACUAAUGACAAUAUGUUAUUGCGACAGCAUUCCUGCGUAGUACGAGAGGAACCGCAGGUACGGACCAAUGGUACAAUACUUGUUCGAGCGAACAGUGGUAUGAUACUACGUCCGUUGGAUUAUGCCUGAACGCCUCUAAGGUCGUAUCCGCGCUGGACUGCAAUGAUAAAUAUGGGGCGAUUGCAUUGUAUGGCUUCUAAAUUAUUUUUUAAGUUUUAUAAGCAAUUAUAAAACGACACAAAUAAUUAUUUGUGACGCCAAUGUUGUAUGGUAACAUAGCUUAUGUAAGAGGAUUAAACAUCACUUGCAUAAUAUGCUCACACAUAUUAAAAACAUUAUUUUGAUACAAUGACAAGGCCUAGAAUCAAUUGUAAACGACUUUGGUAACGGGCAAGGUGUUGUAAG